CUUUCUCUGAGAUGUUUGCAAGCGGGCCAGUCCCCUGAGCCGAUAUUUCAAAAGCACAGAAUGCGGCGCUCCGCGGUUUGUGCGCAUGCCCGGUUCGUCCGGGAAGCCUGAUAGCCGCGACGACGCAUUCACCUUGAACCAAGGGUUCAAGGGUUACAGCCUGCGGCGGCAUCUCGGAGAUCCC
rnacentral:other from 1 species